UACGUAGGGCGCAAGCGUUGUCCGGAAUUAUUGGGCGUAAAGAGCUCGUAGGCGGUUUGUCGCGUCGGCUGUGAAAACCUGGGGCUUAACUCCGGGCCUGCAGCCGAUACGGGCAGACUAGAGUUCGGCAGGGGAGCUGGAAUUCCUGGUGUAGCGGUGGAAAUGCGCAGAUAUCAGGAGGAACACCGGUGGCGAAGGCGGGUCUCUGGGCCGAUACUGACGCUGAGGAGCGAAAGCGUGGGGAGCAAACAGG
rnacentral:rRNA from 1 species